CGAAGGGUGCAAGCGUUACUCGGAAUUACUGGGCGUAAAGCGUGCGUAGGUGGUGAGUUAAGUCUGUCGUGAAAGCCCCGGGCUCAACCUGGGAAUGGCGAUGGAUACUGGCUCGCUAGAGUGCGGUAGAGGAGAGUGGAAUUCCCGGUGUAGCAGUGAAAUGCGUAGAGAUCGGGAGGAUCAUCAGUUGCGAAGGCGGCUCUCUGGACCAGCACUGACACUGAGGCACGAAAGCGUGGGGAGCAAACAGGAUUAGAUACCCUGGUAGUCCACGCCCUAAACGAUGCGAACUGGACGUUGGGAGCAACUAGGCUCUCAGUGUCGAAGCUAACGCGUUAAGUUCGCCGCCUGGGGAGUACGGUCGCAAGACUG
rnacentral:rRNA from 1 species